rnacentral:lncRNA from 10 species
UUUUAGCUAGAGUUUCGCUCUUUUUGCCCAGGCUGGAGUGCAAUGGUGCAAUCUUGGCUCACUACAACCUCCACCUCCUGGGGUUCAAGGGUUUCUCCUGCCUCAGCCUCCCGAGUAGCCGGGAUUACAGGCAUGUGCCACCACGCCCGGCUAAUUUUGUAUUUUUAGUAGAGAUGGGGUUUCUCCAUGUUGGUCAGGCUGGUCUUGAACUCCCAACCUCAGGUGAUCCGCCUGCCUUGGCCUCCCAAAGUGCUGGGAUUACAGGCUUGAACUACCGCACCCAGCCUCACACCAUAAUUCUAUAAUUAUUAAUCAAGCCUUCAGCCCUAUGCCUUUCUGCUUUCACGCUGUUCGUUUUGCCUGAAGAACCUCCCUGCCCCGUAUCACUGCUUGCAUUUCAUUCACACGUAUUGUGUACCUGCCUAGCUCACAGGUCCUCUUUUCCUGGGAGUUUCCCCUCCUCCCUGCAAUCAGACACUGAAAUGGGUCCCUUCAGCCACAUCUGUAUUAUAUGAUCCUGUCCUCCUGGCCUUUGAUUAUUUAUUUUUUGUUUAUUUAUUUAUUUAUUUUGAGACGGAGUCUCAUUCUGCCAGGCUGGAGUACAGUGGCGCCAUCUCAGCUCACUGCAACCUCUGCCUCCCGAGUAGCUUGGAUUACAGGCGCUCACCACCACGCCCGGCUAAUUUUUGUAUUUUUAGUAGAGACGGGGGUUUCACCAUCUUGGCCAGGCUGAUCUUGAACUCCUGACCUCGUGAUCCACCUGACUUGGCCUCCCAAAGUGCUGGGAUUACAGGCCUGAGCCACUGUGCCUGGCGGGCGUUAUUAAACUCAGGGCAAACACUAAUGUGAACUAGCUUACUCAGAGUCUCUCUGUCAGGAAUUUGGAAUGUUGAAAUAGAAAGGCACAGAGCCUGGGAGCCCUUAGAGCUGAGUUCCAUUAAUAUCAGCACUCAGGGAGCACUCCCUCUGCAGAAGUCCCUGGAAAUCCCCUGAUUCCUACUCUUUCACUAAGUAACAUAAACCACUAUAAUUGUGUUUGAGACACUUUUAGGUUCUGGUGACACAAAUAUCAAGUAAAAUGCUGCCUCUGGCCUCCAACAGUUAUCUAUUGAAAUCCUGCCCAUGUUUAGAAUCACAGCUGAAAAGCUCCCUUCUUCCUUUAAGUUUUCUCAUAUUCCCCAAGCAGGAUUAACCCUUCUCCAGGGUAUUGUCAUUGCACUUUGCUUUACUUCUCUUACCUUAAGUCAUGUCUUUGAGCUUGUAUUUACUUAUGAUGUAUUUGUUUGUUUGAUGCCUUGAAGAUCUUUCUGGAUAUUAUUGUGUUCGUGCAAAGGUAAUUGUCGUUUUUGUCAAAGUAAUGGCAAAACCCACAAUUACUUUUGCAACAACCUAAUAAUAUUUAUUUAUUUAAACAUUUUUGUAGAGAUGGGGUCUUGCUGUGUUGCCCACAGUCAUCUCAAACUCGUGUACUCAAACAAUCCUCCCUCCUCAGCCUCCCACAGUGCUGGGAUUACAGGUGUGAGCCACCGUGCCAGGCCACUUUGAGCUAUUUUGAACAGCUGCCUCUCCCACUAAUUGCAAACCCUUUAAAAUUAAGGACUAGAUCUGGCUGUCUUUUUAAGUCUCUCAGCUCCUGGCACAGAAUCACAAACAGAUCAUUUGGAAAGACCAUCUGUUGUUUUGUCUGCCCAUCUUUCUCUCUCUUUUUUUCCCCCUCCUUAAAAAAUAAAUGAAUAAAUAGGCCAGGCUCUGUGGCUCAUGCCUGUAAUUCUAGCACUUUGGGAGGCCCAGGUGGGUGGAUCAUUUGAGGUCAGGGGUUCAAGACCAGUCUUGCCAACAUGGAGAAACCGCAUUUCUACUAAAAAUACAAAAAUUAUCUGGAAAUGGUGGUGGGCACCUGUAAUCCCAGCUACUUGGGAGGCUGAGGCAGGAGAAUUGCUUGAACCCGGGAGACAGAGGUUGCAGUGAGCCAAGAUUGCAAUGCUGCACCAGCCUGGGUGAGAGUAAGGCUCUGUCUAAAAUAAAAUAAUAAAAAAAUAGAGACAGGGUAUUGCUUUGUCACCCAGACUGGAGUGCAAUGGUUUGGGUCAUAGCUCACUGCAGCCUGGAACUUCUGGGCUCAAGCAAUCCUCCUACCUCAGCCUCCUGAAUAGCUGGGACUACAGGCACACAACAUCCUGCCUGGCUAAUUUUUGUAUUUUUUGUGGAAAAAGGAUCUUAUUAUAUUGCCCAAGCUGAUCUCGAAGUCAUGGGCUCAAGCUAUCCUCUUGCCACAAACUCCAAAAGUGCUGGGAUUACAGGCAGGCGCCACUGCACCCAGCCUCCCUUUUCUAUUGGUAACUAUAUCCCUGUUUUCCUUUGAGAAAACAGCCCUCCUUCACUUGUGAUUGUUAAGUUUAGGUGUCAAUUUGACUAGAUUAAGGAAUACUUAUGAGGUGUUUCCAGAAGAGAUUAGCAUGUGAAUGUGAAGGGAGGAAGUGGGGAAGAUCUGCCCUCAAUGUGGGCAGGCACCACCCAAUCAGCUCCCCCUAACCCACCAUAGAACAAAAAACAGA